UGGCAGCCACGGAGCUGUAGCGCGGCUGCAUCAGUGUAAAAGUGCGGUGUGAAGUUGCACGCUGUGUUCUUCCUCUUGAUCUCUUGAGCUGCUGCCCUAAAUGAGGCUGCAAGCACUACCGCGGAAGGAACGGUUGAGAUGGGAAGUGCAAUGCAAAGGGCUGGAGCCAGCAGGAGCAGGCCAGUGAUCAUCCCCCUGUACUCAGCACUGG